rnacentral:rRNA from 1 species
ACUCCUACGGGAGGCAGCAGUGGGGAAUAUUGCACAAUGGGGAAAGCCCAUCGAUGCAGCCAUGCCGCGUGUGUGAAGAAGGCCAAUUCGGGUUGGUAAAGACACUUUCAGUAGGGAGGAAGGUAGUGUAGUUAACACCUGCAUUAUUUGACGUUACCUACAGAAGAAGCACCGGCUAACUCCGUGCCAGCAGCCGCGGUAAUACGGAGGGUGCGAGCGUUAAUCGGAAUUACUGGGCGUAAAGCGCAUGCAGGCGGCCUGUUAAGUCAGAUGUGAAAGCCC